ensembl:lncRNA novel transcript
CAAUUGUAAGGACAUAUCAUACUGUUCAUGUACUGUAUUAGUAAUUAGAGAUUCCUGGAUAGUGAAAGAUCUGCACUGGGAGCUUACUACCGGGGAGCACAUUUUCUCACAGCCGCCUCUAAUCUCCCACGGAAGCUUUCAAACUUCUCAGCAUGCCUUGGUGACGUCUCCAGCAGAGGGUACUCGCUUCAAUCCCCAUGCUGCUGUGGGUGGGCCACAACAACAGAUGACUUUUUAAAUGACAUGCUGUUUCCUGUUCUGCUACUUAUAGUUUCUGAAGAACCAAGUUAUAUAGAAAGAAGAAGAAGGUAAAGGCUGUGAAGGAAAAAGAGAAGAAACUAACUGCAAGUAAAAAAAAUGAAGGCCAUAUAUUUGUUGCUAUGAUCUGAAUGUCUGUGUUCCCUCCUCAAAAUAUAUGUUAAAAUCCUAACCCCUAAA